rnacentral:rRNA from 1 species
GACGUAGGUGGCGAACGUUAUCCGGAAUUAUUGGGCGUAAAGGAUGCGUAGAUGGUGUAGUAAGUUAUCGGUGGCAAAUCGAGGCUCAACCUCGUGGAAGUCGGUAAUACUGCUAUGCUAGAGGAUAGGAGAGGUUAACGGAACUCCCUGUGGAGCGGUGAAAUGCGUAGAUAUAGGGAAGAACACCAAUCAGGCGAAGGCAGUUAACUAUUCUAUUCCUGACAUUGAGGCAUGAAAGCGAUGGGG